rnacentral:snRNA from 1 species
ACGAACAGAUCCUAACUCA